UUUUGGUUUUGUAGCUGUUGCAUUUCCUCUUCCAUCCGAUCCAUCAGAGCAUAACAAUGUUCCCUGCCAGCUUUAAAUUCUUUGGCCUUCUUGGCCGCCUUAUUCUCAAGGGUGGUUAACUUUCUUCUCAGACUGGUGAUUGUCCCUUCAUAUUUUCUUUUCAUUUGUUGCACAAAUUAUGUCCUCCCUUAUGCAUUCUUAGCCAAUUGGGC
rnacentral:lncRNA from 1 species